rnacentral:rRNA from 1 species
AGAGUUUGAUCAUGGCUCAGGAUGAACGUUGGCGGCGUGCCUAAUACAUGCAAGUCGAACGGUAGUUGAGCAUUCGUGCUUGAUGAGAGUGGCGAACGGGUGAGUAACACGUAACUGAUCUGCCCUUUAGACUGGGAUAACCUUUGGAAACAGAGGCUAAUACCGGAUGAGUUCGCGGUAGUUAGAGAGCCGUGAGGAAAGGCUAAUGCGCUAAGGGAUGAGGUUGCGGGCCAUCAGCUAGUUGGUGAGGUAAAGGCUCACCAAGGCGAUGACGGUUAGGGGAUCUGAGAGGGUGGCCCCCCACACUGGGACUGAGACACGGCCCAGACUCCUACGGGAGGCAGCAGUAAGGGAUAUUGCACAAUGGACGGAAGUCUGAUGCAGCGACGCCGCGUGGGUGAAGAAGGUUUUCGGAUCGUAAAGCCCUUUUCUAUGUGACGAGAGAGGACGGUAGCAUAGGAAUAAGUGUCGGCUAACUACGUGCCAGCAGCCGCGGUAAAACGUAGGACGCGAACGUUAUCCGGAGUUACUGGGCGUAAAGCGCGCGUAGGCGGUUGGUUAAGUUACCUAUGAAAGAUACAGGCUAAACUUGUAUUGGUUAGGUGAAACUGGCUAACUA